AGGGUUCGAUUCUGGCUCAGGAUGAACGCUGGCGGCGUGCUUAACACAUGCAAGUCGAACGGAGUAUAUUUAAAGCUUGCUUUGUUAUACUUAGUGGCGGACGGGUGAGUAACGCGUGGGUAACCUGCCUUAUACCGGGGGACAACAGUUGGAAACGACUGCUAAUACCGCAUAAGCGCACAGUCUCGCAUGAGACAGUGUGAAAAACUCCGGUGGUAUAAGAUGGACCCGCGUCUGAUUAGCCAGUUGGCGGUGUAACGGACCACCAAAGCGACGAUCAGUAGCCGGCCUGAGAGGGUGAACGGCCACAUUGGGACUGAGACACGGCCCAAACUCCUACGGGAGGCAGCAGUGGGGAAUAUUGCACAAUGGAGGAAACUCUGAUGCAAGCGACGCCGCGUGAGUGAAGAAGUAUUUCGGUAUGUAAAGCUCUAUCAGCAGGAAAGAAAAUGACGGUACCUGACUAAGAAGCCCCGGCUAACUACGUGCCAGCAGCUGC
rnacentral:rRNA from 1 species